rnacentral:lncRNA from 1 species
AUGCGCGGAGGCCGCCUGCUAGCAAGGAGGGGGCUGUAUGUGGAAUUGCAAGGCCAAAGACAUCUCGGGUCAACUCUUCUCAGGACCAGAUCCAAGUCGCCAGUGAGAACACACAUUCAGGCAGCCUCCACCAGCGCCCUGCCUCAGGAGCGAGGCUCCCUGCUUCAUGUGGGCAAGAGCUGCCCUUGUUUUCCCAGCGGGCAGUUGGGGGUCUGGAGCCUAGGAAGCAAAGUGAAGCACACACUCCUGCUUCCUUCCUUCCCUGCAGUUGAGACGGGAGUCUUACUUUGUUGCCCAGGCUGGUCUCAAACUCCUGGCUUCAAGCAAUCCUUCCACUUUGGCCUUCCAAAGUGCUGGGAUUACAGGCAUGAGCCACCAUGCCCAGCCUCCUUCUCUUACUAGCUGAGAACUAAGAGAAGACACUCUGGAGACAGAGGAGGAAACAGUGACGAUGCCACAUGAUGAAUACAUAAUGGAGGGUGAAGACAAGGCUCCGUCAGGGGCACCAAGGAGGGAAACCCAGUUCUGUGGGGAAGGUAUGGGGCAGCUUCACAAGCCCAGUGUCUGCUCCCUUUGUGGGAGACGUGUUGUUUCAGCAUCCAUUCCCCCUUCUUUUAGGAAAAGUGCUUGAAUUUCCUUUUCAUGGAACCACCCACCUCCCUCUCAUCCAUGCAUUCUAUUCCCAGUAUCAGGGGUAGACAAGUGACUUCAGGCUUGGCCAAUUAGGGUUCUGACUCUUGGUCAAAUCAGAGUGAAUCCUGAGUCAUUUGUAAACUCCAAGGAAAGGGCUUGCUUUGUUUUCUGUUGAAUGCAGUGCUCUGAGAUAGCCGGAAAUGAAACUGCUCUCUUGCCACACUGAAGGCUAGAGAAGGGCCUGGCCAGGAAAUGAUGCCAGUGAUCAGGGGUGGAGCUGGAAGAGGGGGAGUGAGGAGGCCCAGACAUCUUGGGAGCCCCAAAUUCACCUCAGGAUUUAACUUCUCCGCUGCUCAGCCAAUAAAUUCCUUUCUUCCAUGACUAAUUUGAGUUGAGUUUUUAGUUUUUGCAACUAAAACAGCACUGACUAAUACACCCUUAGGUAAGAUUAGAGCAAGAAUUUCCAAUAUCUGUGUUCUUCAUCCUGAAAUUUGGUGAGGAUAUCUAAGGUUCUUUUGUCUUUUAAAAGAAUUCUGUUGCAAUGGAAAGUAUCAAUCCAUAUUUUUCCAUUUCUCCAAAAUGUUUUAGUGUAUAUCUAUGGGGCACAAACUUAAUCUCUGUAGGCCCUCUGCCAUAGUUGCUCUGUGCCACUUGAUAAGGGGCUGGUAUCUAGAAUAUAUAAAAACUCUUAAAACUCAGCCGGGCAUGGUGGCUCAUGCCUAUAAUCCCAGCUCUUUGGGAGGCCGAGGCAGGCGGAUCACCUGAGGUCAGGAGUUUGAGACCAGCCUGGCCAACACGGUGAAACUCUAUCUCUCUAAAAAUACAAAAAUUAGGCGGGCGUAGUGGCUCACUCAAGACUGAGGCAGAAGAACCACUUGAACCCAGGAGUUGGAGGUUUCAGUGAGCCCAGAUGGCUCCACGGCACUCCAUCCUGUGCAACAGAGUGGCACAGGAUGGCAAAAACAAACAAAAGCUCUUAAAACUCAACAAUAAAAGACAACCCACUUUAGAAAUGAGAAAAGGGCCAAGUGUGGUGGUAAUCCCAGCACUUUGGGAAGUUGAGGUGUGUAGAUUGCUUGAGCCCAGGAGUUUGAGAGCAGCCUGGGCAACAUGGCAAAACCACAUCUCUACAAAAUACAGAAAAGAAAAAAAAAAAAUCAGUCAGGUGUGGUGUUGCACACCUGUAGUCCCAGCAACCUGGAGGCUGAAGUGUGAGGAUUGCUUAAACCUAAGGAGAUAGAGGCUGCAAUGAGCUGCGAUUGUGCCACUGCACUCUACCUUGGGCAACAGAUGAAGACGCUGUCUCAAAAAAUAAGAAUAAAGAAAGAAAGAUGGGAAAAGAAUUUAUUUCUUUCCUUUUUUUUUUUUUUAGACAAGGUCUGGCUGGUCCCCCAGGCUGGAGUGCAGUGGUGCAAUCUUGGCUCACUGCAACCUCUGCCUCCCAGGUUCAAGUGAUUCUCCUGCCUCAACUUCCCGAGUAGCUGGUACUACAGGAGCAAGCCACCACACCCAGCUAAUUUUUGUAUUUUUAGUAGAGCCGGAGUUUCACCAUGUCGGCUAGGCUGGUCUCGAACUCCUGACCUCAAGUGAUCUGCCCACCUCGGCCUCCGAAAGUGCUGGGAUUACAGGUGUGAGCCACUGAACCUGGCCUUUUUUUGCUGCUGUUGUUGUUCGUUUUGUUUUGUUUUUGUUUUUGUUUUGAGAUGGAGUCUCGCUCUGUCACCCAGCCUGGAGGGCAGUGGCUCAAUUUUGGCUCACUGCCACUUCUGCCUCCUGGGUUCCAGUGAUCCUCCUGCCUCAGCCUGCUGAGUAGCUGAGACUACAGCCGAGACACCACCAUGCCUGGCUAAUUUUUUUUUUUUAAGUAGAGAUGGGGUUUCAGCAUUUUGGCCAGGCUGAUCGUGAACUCCUGACCUCAAGUGAUCUGCCCACUGCACCUGGCCUUUUUUUCUUUUUUUUUUAAUAGAGAUGAGUACAAUGGACUUUAGGGACUCAGGGUAAAGGGUGGGAAGGGGGUGAAGGAUAAAAGACUACACAUUGGGUACAGUGUGCACUGCAUAGGUGGUAGGUGCACCAAAAUCUCAGAAAUCACCACUAAACGACCUAUUCCUAUAACCAAACACCACCUGUUCCCCAAAAACCUAUUGGAAAAAAAAAAACUCACGUAAGUAAAUAAAUAGAGGCCAGGAGCAGUGGCUCACACCUGUAAUCCCAGCACUUUGGGAGGCCGAAGUGGGCAGAUCACCUGAGGUUGGGAGUUUGAGACCAGCCUGGCCAACAUGGAGAAAUCCUGUCUCUACUAAUAAUACAAAAAUUAGGUGGGCAUGGUGGCACAUGCCUGUAAUCCCAGCUACUUGGGAGGCUGAGGCAGGAGAAUCACUUGAACCUGGGAGAUGGAGGUUGCAGUGAGCAAAGAUCACCCCAUUGCACUCCAGCCUGGGUGACGAGCGAAACUCCAUCAAAAGAAGAAAAAAAAGAAAGGAAAGAAAGAUGCGGUCUGGUGGUGCUGCCCAGGCUGGAGUGCAGUGGCUAUUCAUAGGUAUGAUCAUAGUGCACUGCAGCCUCAAGACUCUUGGGUUCCAGUGGUCCUCCUGCCUCAGCCUCCUGUGUAGCUGGUACUACAGGCUACAGCUAAACUGCUCAGUUCCUCAGUCCUUCUUCAUCUCCCACAGUGGAUACAGAGCGUGGCAGCCCCCUCUCAGGAAGUCAUGGAUCUUUAUGGCUGGCAGGACUGUAAAGUCACCCAGUUCAGCCCCUCAUUUACAUAUAAGGAAACAGUCCUAUAGAGAAGGCGUGCCUUUUUAAGUCACACAUUUGAGCAAAUAAAUAAUUAUCUCCUCACACAUUUAAGAUUGCUAUUACAUCCUUUUCUCUAGAACUUUUAACCUUUCAUCCACUCAGAAUGCUUGCCUGGACCCUCUCCAAUUUCUCAAUAUCUUUCUUUUUUUUUUUUUUUUUUUUUUUUUUUUGGAGACGGAGGCUUGCUCCGUCACCUAGACUGGAGUGCAGUGGCAUGAUCUUGGCUCACUGCAACCUCUGCCUCCCAGGUUCAAGUAAUUCUCCUGCCUCAGCCUCUCAAGUAGCUGGGAUUACAGGCGCCCACCACCACGCCCGGCUAAUUUUUGUAUUUUUAAUGGAGACGGGGUUUCACCUUGUUGGCCAGGCUGGUCUCAAACUCCUGACCUCAAGUGAUCCACCCACCUCAGCUUCCCAAAGUGCUGGAAUUACAGGCGUGAGCCCUCGCGCCCAGUUCAACAUCUUUCUUAAGUGGGCCCAAGGUUGGGGGGAAAAUCUCACCGUAGAGAUAUUUGUUAGAUAUCGAGCAUGUGCUGAAGAAGGCAUCUGUGAUGAUUAAUUUUAUGUGUCAGUUGGACUGGACCAUGGGGUGCCCAGAUAUCAGCUUGAACAUUACUCUGGGUCCAUCUGUGAGGGCGUGGGGUAGGACUGGCAUUUAUGUUGGUGGAGCAAGUAAAGCAGGCUGCCUCCCUAACGCAGGGGAUCCUCAUCCAUCAGCUGAGGGCCCAAAUAGAACAAAAGGCUGAGUUGGAGGGCGCCCCUCCUGCAUGACCAACUUUCAAGUGGUGACAUCAGCUUUCUUCCUGUUUUUGGACUUGAACUGAAACAUCAGCUCUUCCUGGAUCUUCAGCCUGCUGGCCUUCAGACUAGAACUACAACCUCGGCUCUCCUGGGUCUCGGCUUGCUGACUCACCCUGCAGAACUUGGGACUUGUCAGCCUCUACAUUUGUAUGAGCCAAUUCCUUAUAAUGUCUUUCUGUAUAUAUACAUAUAUCUCCACAUCUUAUUGUUCUGCUUCUCUGGAGAACCCUGAGUAAUACAGCAUCAUUCCAAGAUCAGCAGAAAUGUUAGUGCUUCUGGGGAAUUACUGCAAAGGGUACCUGAAUAGCAGCACAUGCUCUCAGUACCCCCGCCUUCUGUUGUCUGCUGUUGCCUGCUCCCUCCCCACCCUUUGGGUUGAUUUCAGGAUAGAGAUAUGGGGAUGGGACUGGGGUUGGGUGUGCGGUUACCCAGAACAGCCAGGAUGUGUGCACGCUGUGACCCAGGAGCAUCAAGCACUGCUCAAGCUGCUUGGAAAAGAAAACAAAAGUCAGGAAAGUGAGGAGCUGGGAGGGUGCUGGAAAGGAGCAGGAAGAAACGGGCAAGGGUAGGAGAGAAGCAGAAAAAACAAUCCCUGAGACAGAGCUGGUGUAACCAAGGCUCUGUUUCCCCCACGGUUUGAGAGUGGGUGAGCCUGACUUCAAGGCCCAGCUCUGUUCAAAGAUAGGACACUGAUUUUCUUCAAGAAGGCAGAGCUGGUGAGUGGCCUCAUGUCUUACCAUCAUGGAAAGGCGAGGGCUGGGGGAGAGAGAAGGGGCAGCCAAGGCCUCAGAGUGGUGUAGGCCUCACCCUUGUGCUCACAUGUCCCAACCACUGCCAGCGGUGCCACCUCUGAAUCCCAGACCCCACAUGUAACCAUCCUCUACCUGGACCACAGGAGGAAGCUCCACGUUCUUUGCCAGGGUUCAGGGUAAGGGGCAUGAUCUAAGUUGGGCAAAAGAGAGUCAUCCUGUUACCUUAAAAAGGAGUCUAGGGUGAGCCCCAGUCUGCUGGUGGCCAUCUUCACCACCUUUGGGGAGAGAUGGCCUGAGCAGACACACAAAGCAAAGAGGUGGAGAGAAACUGUGUCUUUGUGUCAUUGUUUGAGUCCCUGGACCCAGCCCAGUCCCCCCGACUACGCUGAACUUUUCAAUUGUGGAAAACAAUAAAUUCCAUUUAGUUAAGAAAUUUUCAGUUCUGGGUCUUGCAGCUGUGAGCAUUCUGACAACCUUGAUGUUCCAGGCCCUCCUGGGCUAGGUCCAUGAGCUAAUUGCUUGCCCUGCACCUCCAGUGGGAAGGAGCUGCUCACAUCAACUCAGUGUUCCCCAAAGCCACGCCCUUCCUUUCCUGCUUUCACACCACUGCCUACACCAUGCUCUCAUGAAGGCCUGCCCCUUCUCCAAGGCCCAGAUCAAGUCUCUUCUUUAGGAAGUGUUCCUUGGCUAUCACGUUUCGGUGUCAUCAGGUUUCCUCUUUCCUGGUGGCUGGAUUGGAAGGCCUUAGAGGGCAAGGAUCAUAUGUGUUAGAAUUUCUGCAUCCUCCACAAGGCACUUGUGUUCAGUGUAUUUGCUGAAUGAAUGUCACAUUAAAAAGCGUGACCCAGCCGGGUGUGGUGGCUCAUGCCUGUAAUCCCAGCUUUUUGGGAGGCCAAGGCAGGCGGAUCACCUGAGGUCAGGAGUUCAAGACCAGCUUGGCAAACAUGGUGAAACCCCAUUCUCUACUAAAAAAUACAAAAAUUAGCCAGGCAUGGUGGUGUGCGCCUGUAAUUCCAGCUACUCAGGAGGCUGAGGCAGGGGAAUUGCUUGAACCCAGAGGUGGAGAUUGCAGUGAGCCAAGAUCGCACCACUGCACUCCAGCACUCCAGAGCGCACUCUUGUCCACUCGCAACAGAGUGAGACUCCACCUUAAAAAAAAAUAAAAACAACAACACGACUCCUGGCCUAAUGGACUGAUAAGGUAAACAAGAAGAAAGACACAGGCCUGUACACAUAAUAGAAAUUGGGUGUGUACCAGCCUGGGCAACAUGGCAAGGCUCUGUCUCUGCAAAAAAUAAAUUAGCCAGAGGUAGUGGCUCACACCUGCAGUCCCAGCCACUCAGGUGGCUAAGGUGGGAGGAUCACUUGAGCCUGGGAGGUUGAGGCUGCAGUGAGCCAUGAUUGCAGCACUACACUCCAGCCUCCAGACAGAGCAAGAUCCUGUCAAAGAAAAGAAAGAAAAAAGAAAAGAAAAGGAAGGAAGGGAGGGAAAGAAAGGAAAGAAAGAGAAAGAGAAAGAAAAAGAGAAAAAAAGGAAAGAAAUUGCAUGUGUGUACAUGCAAGCAAAUUUCCCAUACCCCGUUAGAAUAUGAGGAAGCAAACAGAUGGAAAGAAUCAAUAACGGGGCAGGGCGCAGUGGCUCACCCCUGUAACCCCAGCACUUUGGGAGGCCAAGACGGGCGGAUCACCUGAGGUCAGGAGUUUGAGACCAGCCUGGCCAACAUGGCAAAACCCCAUCUCUACUAAAAAUAUAAAAAUUAGCUAGGCAUGGUGGUGCAUGCCUGUAAUCCUAACUACUUGGGAGGCUGAGGUUGGAGAAUUGUUUGAAUCGGGGAGGUGGAGGUUGCAGUGAGCCGAGAUCUUGCCACUGCACUCCAGCCUGAGCAACAAAGUGAGACUCCGUCUCAAAAAAUAAAUAAGAAAAAAUGAAUGAGACAUUCUUCUUUUAUUAAAAUAAAACCCAUCCACCACCCCAAGGUUAUUCCAGAAGGAAACUCUCCACCAAUAGUGGUGGCACUAGACAUAUACUGAGAGACCCCCAAGAGGGAAGUGAAGCCAUGGGGGCAUCUGGGGCUACAUGGUCUAUCUCGCUACACAAGGAGGCCCUUUACAAGGCUAGCUGCCAUUUUCUACCAAGACAGAAGGACAGGAACCUUCCAAACAGGGCAGCCUGCAGGCCCUGCACCUUCAGGCCCCAUUCUCAGACACCUGUACAACCCCUUAAGCCAGACGGACUCACAGCUGUCUCUGGAAAGUUCUUCGUUACCUGACUCUUUAGACACAGGGUUGGCUGGAGGGGCCUCUCCCUCAUCUUGUACAUCUUAUGAAGCCCCUUACCACCCACUGUGUUGCUGUCCCACUCAGCUGAAGGGGCUGGCCAGUCCCGCAUAAACCCUCCAGCUCUGAGAUCAGCCAAUCUUCCCUGGGCACUGCUCUCUCCCCCAGCAAAAAAGCCAAGAAUUUUCCCCAAAGCUUAUGGUGAGGAACCUGUGUGUGUGUGUGUGGUGUGUGUGUGUGUGUGUGUGUGUGUUUGAGAUGGAGUCUCACUCUGUCAGGCUGGAGUCCAGUGGCAUGAUCUCGGCUCACUGCAACCUCUGCCUCCCGGGUUCAAGUGAUUCUCCUGCCUCAGCCUCCCGAGUAGCUGGGACUACAGGCACCUGCCACCAUGCCUGGUUAAUUUUUGUAUUUUUAGUAGAGACGGGGUUUCACCAUGUUGGCCAGAAUGGUCUCGAUCUCCUGACCUUGUGAUCCACCCACCUCGGCCUCCCAAAGUGCUGGGAUAAUAGGCGUGAGCCACCGCACCCGGCCAGAACUGAUCUUAAUUCUCAAACCAGUAACCCUAAUGAAGCGUCUUCGUUUCAGGUGGGCUCAUUCAAAACGACAUUUUCAGGCUUGGUGCAGUGGCUCAAGCCUGUAAUCCCAACCCUUUGGGAAGGGAGGCAGAAGGAUUGCCUGAAGCCAGUAGUUUGAGACCAGCCUGGGCAACAUGGUGAGACUGUCUCUACCCACCCCCACAAAAAAAACAUUUUCUCUUCUCCACAAACCUCCUGCCUCCCAUUAAAAUGUCACUCCCCCCAAAAAAUGCAGAGGAAGAGGUAAGAUUGCAGGCUAUUUGAAAACAGGGGCAUGAAGUUUGUCAGUUCCCUUCUGUCUCCCCAUAGCAUCUGUGUUCCAUUAGUGUAGUGGCUGAGAGCGUGGAUAUUUCAGGCAAGAUGCCAGCUGAAGAUUCUCUAGUCAUCUUGGGAAAGCCGCCCUGCCCCAGAUGCACCACCUCUUCCUGUGUCCCAGGGUCCUCUCCUUGCGGCCCUUCACAUCCCAUGGCUUCUCGUGUGCGGGCCCCUCUUCGCCUGUGCAGUUGAUGCCACCUUCCAGCUGCCACGUGACAGGUGGGCAGAGACUGGGGCUCCCGCAUUCCCAACUCCAGCACCUGGCUGAGACACUGGGCCCUGGGAUUGACUGUGACCGCCCUCUUCCCCUUUGGCAGGUCCUGUCUCCCACUUUCAACACCCUCACUUAAGGCCAGGCAGAACCCUUCCUACUGUCACCAGUCAUUAAAAUAAGGUUGCAUCCCUCCCUUCCCUUCUGAAAAUCCUUCCUGGGCUCCUUCUGCUGUUAGUGCCUUAAAUGAGCACCCCUCACCUUUCUAACCUCGGCUCUUACCACCUCCUGGCCACCAGUGUGCUUUUGCUCUUGCCAUUCUCUCAGCAGGAGUGUCCCUAUCCCAGUUCACUCCCACAUCAAGUGUGGCUCAAGCUGCGUCCUCCAGGAAGCCUUUCAUUAUCACUCAGGUCAGAACUGGCUCCCUUCUGGGCACAGGACUUUUCCGAGCCGGCCGCCCACUUCACUCUGCCUUUCUGUGGACAAGUCCAUCUCCUGAACUAAGGACAUAAAAUCCUUGCAGACAGGGUCCUGUCCGUCACUGUAUAUUUCAUGGUGCCUAAUGGUGCUUUGUCUGAAUGGACAUGAAAUGAGAACACACUCCCAGCUUCCAAGAAAGAUGUGUAUUCUCCCUAACAACAACAAAAGAGACCUAAAUGGGCUGCUCCCUGAAGAGAGCCCUCAGCUCUUUUACCGUGAUGCACACUCGGGGCUGGGUGUAGGCUGUGUGAUCAAAUGUAUGAAGGAAGAAGGAACGGAGAGAACGUGGGCAAUCAAGGCCUGGCACUGCCCUACAGGAGGCUUACAGGUCACACUCCCAGAACUGUCUCUAUCCCCAUGCCUCUCCUAGUAAGAUUCAUUACCUAUGGUUUCAAAGAAAGUGCAGUUUCUAGGGAGUGAAGGAACACGUGAAAUACAGAAAAUAAAGACAGAAAAACACACAAAUUAUUAAAUAAAAUUUAAACAAUAGAGGGAAAAAAAGUGUAGUUUGUUCUGCAAGCCACAGCCCAAAGAAGUCUAUUUCCUCCCACAGGAUGGCUAGAGUUUAGGAGCCACGUUCUCCUCUAUAGCUCACCAGAGGAUGCAGCCUGAAGAGCUCAGGGUUUGAAGGUUGGGCCUUGGGCGGGAGUCAGCUACUAUUUCUAGCUGUUCUAGAAAGACCUAGAAACUUCCUGUGUGAAAACAGGAUUAGGAAGCUCUGGGGGUGAAAAUGCCAUGCACGGAGCUGGCCCAUGCCAAGUCCCUUCUAACUAUUUUAAAUUACAUCUUUGGCCAGGCACGGUGGUUCAUGCCUAUAAUCCCAGCACUUUGGGAGGCCAAGGUGGGUGGAUAACCUGAGGUUAGGAGUUCCAGACCAGCCUGGCCAACAUGGUGAAACCCUGUCUCUACUAAAAAUACAAAAAAAUUAUCUGGGCAUAGUGGCGCAUGCCUGUAAUCCCAGCUACUCAGGAGGCUGAGGCAGGAUAAUCGCUUGAACCCAGGAGGCAGAGGUUGCAGUGAGCUGAGAUCAUGCCACGUUACACUCCAGCCCGGGUGACAGAGCGAGACUCUUGUCUCAAAAACAAGAAAAAGAAAAAAAAAUACAGCCUCAUCAACAUCUCCUGCUUCUCUGAGACAAAGGGAACAAACCAAAUCAGGAAAAUCGUGACAGAAAAAUGACAGGCAGCCAUUGUCAUUUCCAUUCUUAUUCGUGGUUUCUGGUUUUUUUGGUUUUGUUUUCCCUUUUAAUUUUUUUCUAGAAAAAAAAACACAACCCGGGGAAUUUAUAUGACAAACUAUCAGUGUCAGGAUGGCAGAGGGAAAGAGAAAGAAGAGGAAGGCCAAAGACAUGGGGAGUGAAUAAAAAGUGGGUUCCGGAUCGUGCGGAACAGUCCACAGGGUCAUUUACAGGUCCUCAGGAGAUGACCAGUCCCUUUGGCAUGCAGGUCCAGUGCCUGGUCUUCUGGUCUGCCUGCUCAGACACCCAAGGGCAGAGAGAGCUGGCCACAAGUAAACCUGCCAAUGACAAACUCAGGACUUAACAGAAAGACUUAGUUCAGUUCCUUGGCUUUGUGCUCAGGCAUCACAUAGCAGGCAGCCUGCAGCCUUUCUUGCCUGAGAGAAGAGUCCAGAAGAGCAGGAGAGUCACCUUUGAACACACUCUGGCAUCACAGCAGUGAACUGCAAGCAGCCACUGGCUCGUGUGCAGAUGUGGCCCUCACCACCCAUGCAGGCAUCUGUCCGGACAUCCCCAGUCAAUCUGGCCAAAGGAUGGGACAUGACAGUCCCUUUCUAGCCACAGCUUCAUAGUGUUGUCCAUUCUCCAGUCUUGCUCAAACUAUCUAUCACCUUAAAGGUUGGAAGAGAUUGGAAUCCAUUUCCUUUUCAGCUCAGCAGGGGACACUGAUUCCCAAGAAGCAAGUAACUUAACAAGGACAGGUUGGCCAUCUGGAUCUACACUGAAGGUCUUUCAAGUUUCAUCCACUUUAUGCCCAGAUCUCAGGGCAGAAAAUUCAGCCAGACCCAGAGCAAACAAGGUGACCAGAGUGAUGGCUGAGCAAGAAAGUCCCAGCAGCACACUGCAAGACCAGAGUACAUUCAAGAGGGGAGAGGGCACGUGGCAAGCUGGAGUCCCGAGUCAGAGUCUAGGGCAGCACUGGGUCUGAAGGACACAGCCCGGCCUGCUGGGCUGACAGUGUGGGUCUGAUGCCUCACAUGAUGUGGCCCCACUGGUUGUAUUCCUAUGUGGAGGGUGGUGGGUUCCUGCCCUGUUGUGGCCCCUGUUCCUAAACUGAGGCCAGGUUCCAUCUCAGUGCUGCAGUCCUGAGGAGCACCACGCUGGCCCGCCAGCCAGGCCACAGUCCUCAGCCCCUCUGGGUUCCACGAGAAGGCCCCAGGGAGUCACCGUCACUGAGAGGGAAGGGGCCAGGGAAGGGAGGCUGCAUUCUACUGGGAGAGACUCGGGGAGGGACUACCAUGGGCUUGGAAGGAGCUACAGCCCCAAAUAUUGCAGAGCCAAAAGGAAUGGGAUACAUGUCUAAAAAGUGACAACAGUCUUGUCCCUAUUUUAAAAACAGAAUAUUGUUGCUGUUGCCUGGUUUCAUUUUUUUCCUUUUAAAACCACUCAUAUUUAAAAGGUGAAGGGCUGGGAGAUGUAGUCCCCUUCACUCUGGUCCUUGAUAGGCACCAGGGGGCCUCAGUCUCACGCUGGCUCCUGCUCUCCUUGCCUGGGCUCCAGCCACAUGAAGCAAGGGCAGAGAGGGUUGCAACUGCUCUGCCUUCCCAACAGCGAUUCCCUCUCCCCAUAAAACCAGGGCACACGUGAGGAGAAGUCCAAAGAGUAAAGUGCACAGAACUCCCCGGAGCAGGUGGCCUGGGGGCGGGUCACUCCGAGAAGGAAGGGGUCUGGGGGGCGUCAGCCCAGAGCUACAGCUGUGGAGCAAACACUGAUCCCUGUGAAGUGAGCCUCCAGGGCACAGUCCCCUUUCCCUUGGGCCCUUUGACACUUGUUUUUGGGACUGUCCGCUCUCAGCAGCUCUCCAAGGAAAGUCUCGGUCCCAAAGAUAUCGCCCAUGCUGGAGGAAACUUGGAUGACCUUCCCUGGCUGGUAAUGACUCGUGAAUGUGAAGGGGGCAGGAUGUGGCAGGAGGGAAAGAGUACAUUAUAGAAAACCAGUGGACCUCCGGUUCUGAGAGCAGGGAUACUUGGAUGACCCUAAAGGCAGAGUCUCUCCUGGGGAAGGUUUGGAGAAGAUGGUCAGGAUCCUACCAGUGAGGCCUGCUGGGGAAAGGAGCUCCUCUGGGUGCGAGAGGAGCUGCAGAGUUGAGGGAGGGGCUGCCGAGGAAGAGAGCCCAGGGCUGGCAUUAGGGUGUGUAAGCAGGGGGUGGCUGGAACUGGUUGAUGACCUCAUAUUCCGCCGGGUAGGGCUCGUUCUCUUCCAUCUCUGAGAGCAGCUCCAGCGCCUGCUCCUCUUCCUCUGUGGGGUAGUGGCGCAGGAGGUUGGCUGCCGUGGCCAGGAUUGAGGCUCCACCAGCUCCUGCCACCAGGUAGAAGCUAACGGCGAAGGUGACAUAGACCUGGGAUCCAUGGUACUUCUUAUGCUGCUGCUGCUGGGCCAAGAUGAGUUCAGAAGCCCAAUAAGAAAAGCCAAUGACGGUGGCACACUGCAGAACUAGGAGACAGAGGGACAGCACAGAAGGGGAAUUAGUGAGCACUCCACAGCUAGGAUGCUUGAGGACCCAAUCACAGCCUCUCUACCCAAACCCCAUUCUCAGAGAACCUGCCUGGCCCCAG